ACGGAAGGCAGCAGUGGGGAAUAUUGCACAAUGGAGGAAACUCUGAUGCAGCAACGCCGCGUGGAGGAAGAAGGUCUUCGGAUUGUAAACUCCUGUUUUUAGUGACGAAACAAAUGACGGUAGCUAAAGAGGAAGCCACGGCUAACUACGUGCCAGCAGCCGCGGUAAUACGUAAGUGGCAAGCGUUGUCCGGAUUUACUGGGUGUAAAGGGUGCGCAGGCGGGACUGCAAGUUGGAUGUGAAAUACCGAGGCUCAACCUCGGAGCUGCAUCCAAAACUGUAGUUCUUGAGUGAAGUAGAGGUAAGCGGAAUUCCGAGUGUAGCGGUGAAAUGCGUAGAUAUUCGGAGGAACACCAGUGGCGAAGGCGGCUUACUGGGCUUUAACUGACGCUGAGGCACGAAAGCAUGGGUAGCAAACAGGAUUAGAUACCCUGGUA
rnacentral:rRNA from 1 species